rnacentral:lncRNA from 1 species
UAAUGUUCUUCAUGAUGGCGUUGUGGAUUCGGCGUGAUUGACGGCGGUUCGUGGAUUCGGAUCGUGGGCUCGUGGAUUCGAGUGGCGUUCGUGGAUUCGGACGUGUGCGAGGCGUUCGUGGAUUCGAACGUGAGGGCGUGGACAACCCGGAGGAUUGCGCGAGGUUCAUAGGAGGUUAAGAGAGGUUGAGUCUGUGGAGUCGGUAAUCACCUUGUAAUCUUUUCUCUUAGUGAAUUAUUUUUUCGCGUGUUGGUCCCGUGGGUUUUUCUCCAAGUUGGAGUUUUCCCACGUAAAUCUCGGUGUGCUUUUUAUUUUCCGCAUUUAUUUUUAUUGCAUCGAGAUUUGUGGUUUUUGGCCGUUACACCUAUUCACCCCCCCCUAGGUGAUAGAUACAAUCUAGAUAGAUCCUUGGGCUCCUCAAAACUUUCAAUUGGUAUCAGAGCAGGAUCUAGAUAAAUUGUUAUCUAUUGGCCGAAGGCGGAAACAUUAAUCGACCACCGCUCUUCGACGGCACAAAUUAUGCCUAUUGGAAUGUUCACAUGAGAGCUUUUCUAAUCGCUAUCGAUGAGCACGUUUGGCAAUCAAUAGAAUUUGGAUGGAAACAUCCUAUUGAAAAGGUCGAGAAUGUUGAAACGCCAAAACCACGGAACAAGUGGACGAAAGAUGAAAAUGAGGCAUCUUCAUUUAACGGCAAGGGCAUAAAUGCUUUAUUUAAUGCAUUGUCCCAAACGGAGUUUACUCGUGUUUCGGCGUGUGAAACCGCCAAGGAGAUUUGGGAUACUCUACAAGUUACACAUGAAGGAACGAGCUUAGUAAAGGUCCAAAAAUUGCAAAUGCUAACAAGCAAGUUUGAUUCUAUUUCUAUGGAUAAAAACGAGACCUUUACCGAGUACUAUACGCGUCUACAAGAUGUUGUGAAUACAUGUGCUAACUUGGGAGAAAAAAUUCCGGAUUCAAAGGUUGUUAGAAAGAUUCUUCGAACUCUUCCAGAACGCUUUCGGGUAAAAGUUGCCGCGAUCGAAACCGUUAAGCAUCCGGACGAGAUGAAAGUCGAAGAGUUAGUAGGCGCUUUACAAACGUAUGAGAUGACUUUUCCUACUAAUCAAUCUUCUUCCAAGUCUUUUUCUAAAAGCACAGGGGUUGCAUUAAAGUCGACGAAGGAGGAAGAUAAGGAUUCAAAUUUCGAUGAAGAUAUAUCGCUUGCUGAUUUCGAACAUCAACUUGCACUAUUAACGAAGAAGUUUUGUCGAAACUUUCGGAACAAGCACAAGUUUGACAAGGCUACAUGGUCUAAGCAACAAACGUUUUGUAAGUCUUCAUCUUCUAACGAGAAGAAGCAUGCAAAGGCUUGAAAAUAAAAGGAUGUAUUUGAAGGCGAGAUCCGAUGCUACAAGUGCAAAGGCUACGGCCACAUCGCAACGGAUUGUCCUUCAAAGAAAUUGUAUACUAAGAAGGCAUUGCAAGCAAAGACGUGGGAUGAUACAACUUCAAGUGAAUCAAGCUCAAGUGACGAAGAAAGAAUGGAAAUCUUGCUUUAUUUGCUAAAUCUACCUUGCCUUCGUCUAACGUUGUUUGUUUAUCCUCUAUUGCUACUAAUUCCAAUAUUUCCCUUUCUUCGCAUGAUUCUUCGAGCAACAAUGGCGAAAGCGAGGAGGAAUCAAACGACGACGACAUAGCGGAAGCAUACAAUCAACUUCUUAUUGAAUCAAAGAAGAUGGCUAAACUUAAUAAGAAGUUGAGACGUCGUUUGUUGAAUCUCGAAGAGAAAAACAACAACUUAACGAUCACGAACAAAGCCCUCGAGGAGGAAAGGGAAUCAAUUUUGAAAAAUAAUUCGGACCUCCAAGAGAAGCUUAAUGAAGCAGAAUCAACAAUCAAAUCCUCUAAAGACAAGAUUGGAUUUUUUGAGCAUCAAUUUGAGGAAACCUACACAUUCAAUCAAUCCUUGACCAACCAAGUUCGACAACUCAAAUCCGACAUACUAAAGUUCUCAUCGGGAUCGAAGAAAUUAGAUCAUAUGCUCGGGUUGGGUCAAACGGAUAAGUUAGGCUUCGGAUACGAAAGAGUUUUUGUUGAGAAGGGUUCUAAAUCAACUUUGAAAGUCUCGGCAACUUUGAAAGACAAGGCGUGUCAUCGAUGUGGCGUCAAAGGACACAUCAAAAGGAAUUGCCCAAACAAAGAAAAGAUGAAUCGAUCGACAAGGUCUUCACAUCGAUCAACAACUUCUAAACUCCAAGCAAAUCGGUUUUCUUAUGUGCAACACCAAAUCCGACAGAACCCAAAAGCUAAUCGGAUUUCUAAACCUCAACGACAAAUUCAAACAAAGCCUCAAGCGAAGAAACCACCAACGGUUGAUCAAAAAUCUAAGCAAACGGCACCAAACGUCGACAAGCCGAGAAAAUCAAAGAUCCGACAAGUUUGGAUCCGGAAAGGUGAUAUCUUUCAUUGCUUCUCGUCUUAGUUGUUUUCUUGUGUAGUGCUUUGAUAGGUGCUUAUUGCUUAUUUUUAUUCAUUGCAUUACAUGUUUAAAUUUUUUUUUUUGUGCUUUGAAUUUUGUUUGUUUACAAAAUUAUUUUGAGGAAAGGUGUUUAGGAAUUCAAAAUUUUUAAGAAAGGAGAUGAUUGAAAAUCAUUAUUUUGAAGUGAGAAAUUUUUUCAAAGUCGCUUAAACGGUGUUUAACUUCACAAUCAUAUUAAGUUAAAUUCAUAUUAAUUAUCAUUUUUACUCCACUUUUUAUUAUUUUGAAGAUAAUUUGAUAUAUGAUUUCUCAAUACAUAUAUUCAUCAAAAUUUUGAAAUCAAAUUUGAUCUCUUGGUGAUUAAUCUAUCUCGGUUGUGUGUAUUGAAUAUGAUAGAUGGAUAUUUGCUAAUAGACUAAAAUUUGUCAAAAUAUUUUCAAUUGUGAGAUUGUCUAAUUUAGGGGGAGUUUGAAUUUAUUAAAAAAAAGGGAGAAAACUCCUAUGUUUAAAAAGAUGUGGAAAGAGUUAUAUCCAAAAAGAGUGUGAAAACUACCACCACAUGUAGGAAAGAGCUACCACCCCGGUCGUCCGGCAAGUGUGUGAAGCUACCACAUGAAGAUUGAGUUGAAUAACCGAAAAGGUUGAGAAAAAUUUGAAUAUUUUAGAAUUUUCGGAGUUAUAAGGUGAUAGAUUGAAAAUGAUGCUCAAAGAGCCACCCCCGGUAUCAUAUUAAUUAAAUUUCUAUUUUGAACGGAUUGUAACAAAUUGGUGUCAAUUUUGUCGAAUUUCUAAAAAUUAUUUUUCGUGAACCAUUACAUCUUGAUGAUUUUGAAACUUGAGGUCAGUUUUUAUAAUGAAAUUUUGAUGUCUCGAUGCAUUUUGAAAUCUUAUAAUAAUUUAUUCUCAUUUUAAUGAUUUUUGGAGUAAAAUCCUUAAUUUAUAUGAAAUUAAUUUAACUUGAUGGAUUUUUAAAGUAAAUUUUUCGAAAUCUGGGGAUGUGUACCGGUACACAAUCCCGUGUACCGGUACGGUUACUGUAGCCGCGGAAAUAUAACCGGUUACAGGGCUUUAUUUCUCACUCAAAUCAAAACCAAACUUCGCUCUUUCUCUCUCUAAAAAUCCCUAGUGCUUUCCUCUUCCAGAUCUACAUGAUUUCCCUCAGAAAUUUGUGAGUAUUUAGCUUGGAUUUAAUCAUUACAUCGCGUUCAUGCCUAUUUUUCGAAAAUAUUCCGAGUUGAAGCUAGAUUUCUAUUUUGAUUUAUUUUUGAUGCAAUUUUUUGCUGUAGAUCAGUGUUUAAUGACAUUAUCUUGCUUCUAGAACACUUGAAUCACAUCAAAACACAUUAUUUUUUGCUGAUCUAUUUUCUAAGUUCAAUUUGCAUGUAAUUUCGGAAUUUUUGAUAAAAUGUCAUUUUUGAUAAAAAAAAUUUUCAUGAUCUGGUUAGAAAUAGCAUUUGUAUGCAUUCUAAUGUUAUUAGAAAUCUUUUCGCUAUUUUUACAGAUUUUUUCAAAGUUUUGUUCAUGCAAGGUUAAUUUUUGUAUAGAAAAAAUGACGUUUCACUUGUGUUGAUGAUUUUGGUGCUGAUGGCCGCAAGACGUGAUUGAGGUGGUGGUAGAGGUCGUCGUGGGGCCUCUAAGAGGACACGUACAGCUGAAGAAGCAUCCGGAUCUGAUCCGGAUUAUCAGGCAAGCUCCCCGGAAGAGGCUGAAGAACCUGUUGCUCGUCUUGACAAGGGCAAAGGAAUAGCUGGAGAAUCCUCGCGUGGCGGUGGUUCUCGUGCAAGAGAAACUCGGUCGAAGCAUGCCGCGGAUGUUCCCCCAGAGCGACGGAGGAUGUUCAUGAGCAAGUCUUGUAUUGGAGAGCAUUAUGUCAACUUCAAUGAUCUUAUACAUGACGUUCCUGACUUUAGGCGACUACUUCAGCGGGUUCCUAUUGAGCCAGUUGGUAGGGUUCCUGCUCGGGCUCCUUUUUGUGUGGAACUCAUUCGUGAGUUCUAUAUGAACGGGAAGGUACUUGCAGAAGAUGAAGAGACCGGGACUUUUCUUUUUGAGACAGUUGUGCGUCAGCAGAAGGUUGUCGUUACCCCAUAUACUAUUGGAGAGCUUUUGGGGAUGAAUGUAGACACUACUGGUCUUCUUUAUACAUCAGGAGGAUUUCAAUUAUCAUCUCACUGGGAUAUAGUUGUAGCAGCUAUCUGCAAAGUUGGAGUGCAAACGAAUCGAGCUUAUGUAGAGUCCAAGGAUUUGCGACCAGAGUAUCAUCUGCUGUCCUUGGUCUUGAGCUACAAUGUACAACCAACGAUUGGAACAAAAAGGAUUCGUUGGGAUCGUUUGCUUCUACUGUUUCUACUUGGUCACCCGGAGCAAGUAUAUGGAUUGAACAUCAACAUUCCUUUUCUGAUGUGGCAGCGGAUGAUUCAUGUCAUUCAGGCUUCUGCUUGACGGGAUCUACUUCCAUUUCCUCUUUUGAUCACGAGGAUUCUGCAAGAUAAUGGAGUGGAUGUUUCUUGCGAGAAGUAUGAUUUUGGUCUUGGUCCAAUCGAUGCUGUUACCUAGGCCAAGUUGGUCAGCACUCUAAAGACUUUUCAGCAAACAAAAGGACCCUCGCGAGCAGCUCCUAGCCAGGCACCUCCACCACGUGCAGAGCGUGAGGGAUCUUCCAGUUCAGGGGGAGAAUCACUUCGCCAUGAAGUACGAUCUUUGAAGAAGAAACUGGCAGAUCUUGCUAGAAAGGUGGAAGUGGGUAUGAAGAGGAUGAUGGACAAAUUAGGAUGUAGGCAUUAUGAUAUUUUUCCGACUCAGCCUGUCUAUACGAGGUCUACUUCGCGACAUCCUCUUAUUCGUCCAUUUACUGGAGCUUCAAAUACGGGAGGUUCUGGAGCUGGCGCUGGAGCUGAUGAUGAUGAUGACGAGGACACAGAGUGAUUUCUUUGUCGAGCUUAGUCUUUCUCUUUCACUGUAUUUGCUGUUUAGGGUGAUGUUUUAGUUUAGUUUUUCUUGCUUAUCUUUUUUUGGCAUGUUUUUAUUUUUGUUUUAGGCCUGUAACUAUGACUUGACUACUCUUUUGCUUCUUAGUGUAUUUCCUAUCUAUAUGCUUUCUUUUGGCAAUUUUUGACAAAAAGGGGGAGAUCAUAAGAAGAACGGGUAUUGAUCAAAGCAGAGCAAUGGAGAGGAUGAUGAACAAAGGGGGAGAAGGAUCGACAAAGUGGGAAAAGGAUCGAGUACAAUAAGAACGUUGAGAGAACAUGAAUUGAAUGUAAGAUUUCUAUAUCUUUUUGAUUGAUCUGUUUUGCAGGACUUCAAGACUUCAAGACUCCUAGUUGCGUCUAAGUCAUAGAGUCUGUUUUAGGAGUUUAUGAUGUACUUUUGAGUUUCAAAUUGUAUUUGGACUACAUGCGAGGGGUUCGAUGUUUUGGUGAUGACAUUGAACUUUAUUUUUUUCUUUAAAUUGUAAUUUUUGAGUUUGUGUGAGUUUUGUCACGAAAUUGCUAAAGGGGGAGAUUGUUAAGUCUUGUGUGUUGGCAAGUUUCGUGAAGUGAGUUGGAGUCUUGAAGAAUCGGUGAGUGUCGUCAAAGAUUGAAGAAUUCAAGAUUUCGAAAAAGUUGGAAAGUAACUCACGAUGUGAAUCACGACGUAAAGGUAAUGUGUUAAGUCAUGUUAUGGUGAUUCAUACUUAGUUAUAGGCAUUAGAAUCAUUAUUAUUGAUGUUUAGCUGAUUAGAAAGAGCUUCGGAACUCUGCAGAACCCGAAACAGUGCAAAAGUGUGAAAAAUUGUCACACCCCGGGACCCAGCGGAAGCUCGCUCGGCGCGUGUCCAGACCCGCCGUACGUCUAAAACAUACAAGACGUCUAAGAUAAAGCGGUAAAAAAGCAAUAAAGAGAAAGCAUCUAAGUGUAUCACAGCAAGAAUACAACGAAGUGCUACAACAAGAAGAAGAACAUGAUGCUGAAAACCCACUAAGUAAAACAUAAGGUAAUACAAAAGGAGUCCCAUAACAAGUACUAGUCUAAAUACAAGGUGGUCUCUCUAUACAUGGUGCAAAAUCUCUCCUCCUCCUCUCAACACAAACAAAGAAGGAGUAACCACCUAAAGCAAAACGGACUCUCUCUCCGAGCUAACUACGCGACACCCUUGCCGUGGUCCCGUGCCUCCGCCUGUGCCGAAGGCUCUGAAAAGAAAACAUAGAAACAGGGGCGUGAGAACUAUUAAAUAAUAGUUCCCAGUGGGCAAUUACUGACUUCAGUGAAUGCGCCACUAGGCCCAAAGGCUACAACAAAAGGGUCAGUAUACAAGUAUAAGCCAAAGCAAUAAGAACAGCUAGGAAAUAAAUAUAAAUACUAUUUAACCAUGAUGUCUCUACUUAGCAUGAUUUGCAUAAGUAAGAAGGCAGUUACUACAAGUAUGUGCACCAGAGUAUCCAACAUGCAAAUGCAUAAGUAUACAACUAAUCCAAUGUCCACAAUGUAAAUAGUAAAAAUGUCAUUGUUUACUAUUCUAGUCAAUGUCCACUUGUCACUUUAAAUGUUUACGGUUCAACUUUGAUAAGACCCACCCGAAGGCUGUCUGGCAUAAGACCCACCGGAAGGCUGUCUGGUUUUACCGUGCCUAAUGGCCCCGUGAUAGUCAACAUCCCCACCGUAGGAAUGAGCCUUUCCCACGGCAAUCCACUUCGGCGCCCAGUCCUGCACGGCGAACGUAUCGCGAUGGCCAACUCCGGAGUGCCGGCUUGUAGGGAGCGACCCUCACAAGCAUGUGCGAAUGAGCACAAUGGCAAGCAUGCGUAUAAGUCUGUCUCAAGUACCAAGUUCUCAUGUCUAUGAACAUGGAAUGUAUCGAAUAUCACAAAGGCCUAUCACUAUGUCAUCAUGUCUCUAACAUGAAAUAUAGUCGAUGUCCAAUGGCCUAUUACUAUGUCUCUAUGUUGCAUUUUCAUAGUUUACUAGUUUCAAGUGCCUCUUUAUGACACUAUUGUUCAAUGAGUCCAAGCAUGGUAUCUAAGUUCAUGAAUACAUAAUUCUACUCAUUUCAAACAUAAGAGACAUGUUCUCAACUUACAAGGUCAACUACCCUUCACAAUGCAUGCAGUCUACACAUAUGGCUCUACUAUAUAGAGUGCAAUUUCAUGAUACAUAUAGCAUGCAUUUCAAGUGUUUUAAAAUUCACAUAAAUCAUGUUUAACAUGGAUUUGCAUUCAAAAAUACUUUACGACAAGUAUAGAAACAUAGGGGGGCCAUUUUGCCCCAUGCUCAUGAAGCCAAACCCACCGAGAUACCGAAACCCUUCGUAAGCUCCGAUGAAGGUGUCGACUAGUCUCCUAGCAUCCUAAAGAUGUAGGAACAAGGGUCAAACAAAACUCACGAUCAACCCUAAACUCAAUCCAAAAGCAAUAUAGGCUAAGGUGGAGAAAACUCACCUAGGUGAAGAAACCCUCUCUCAAGCUCCAAAAGGGAGUUAGAGUUCUUCAAAUCCAAUCCAAAUAAAGGUUCUAAACCCAUCAAUUAGGUUUCAAAGCCCUCAAAUCAAAAAUACCCAAAACAAACCCUAAAUCCCAAAAUCUAGGGUUUCAUCUAGUAAAAUCUAGAAAAACUUGUAUUAAAUGGAGAAUACAAGCAACCAACCUCAAGAGAAGCUUCAAUCCAAGCUCUAGACUAAGUAGAGUUAAAGUUUGAUCCUCCACAAAGCUUCAACCGCAAGCUCCAAGCCACCAAAGUGAGAAAUGAGGAAGAAGAUGAUGCUCCAAGGCCUCCAAGCAAGAUUCUCUCCUUCUUCUCCAACUCCUUCUUCUUCUCCUUCUCUUUCUCUCUCUAGGGUGCAAAAGGGUUGAGAGAAAUGAGGAAAAGAGAGAGGAGAAAGGCUCUCUAUAGCCUUUAAAGUAACAAAAUCCUGAUAAGCCCCUCAAAAAUUCACUCUGUGCACUGCUCGGUCUGGGCAGAUUUCGCGCUGAGCGACCGGUCUCUCCCUGCAUGGGAUCGGUCUCUCGUGUCGAACCCGAAAAACCAACGUUCGGGAAUCGGUCUCUCCCCGCCAGGGACCGGUCUCUCAGACCCUUCUCGCAAAACACGCGCUCGGGAACCGGUUUCUCCCAGCCAGGGACCGGUUGCCUCAAGUCCUGCUGCAGCACUGCGCUGAGGGGACCGGUCUCUCCUAUCAGGGACCGGUCCCCGAGAGUGAAAACUCUCAGGACUAAGUCAAAACUCUAGAGAUCGAACCUUUAGGCCGGAAUACCAUCUACGGCCUUCCACCAAGUGUGGAAAAGUUCGAAGUACACAUCAAACACUCGAACCUCGCAAUUUGUAAAGGUCCAGUGCGCUACAAAAAUGCACUGUGUACCGGUACAGCAAUUGACCCGUACCGGUACAGCCAUCAACUUUGGUUUCGCAGAUUUUUGUUCCGUCAUCGUGUAACCGGUGACAGCCUUUCGUGUACCGAUACACUUUGUAAAAUCGUGAAAACUUUCUAAUCCGACUCCGUUUUAUUCUAAAGUCUAUAAAUAAGCUAUUGGGGUUCUUUAACAGAUCAAGCAUCACGAAAAUACAUAUUUGAGAAACCCUAGAUGCUCGGAUUUCAUCUAAAACCUAUUUUCUACAUAAAGCCUCUUUUAGGUCAAAUCGAGAUUUUGGAUUUUGAUAUCAAUAUGUCGAAUUGAUCUUCGUUUUGCUUGGAGUUCUCUUCUCUGGUUUUCAUCGAUACUCUAAGCGAAGGAUCACCAUACACAUGAUGUUCUUCAUGAUGGCGUCGUGGAUUCGGCGUGAUUGACGGCGGUUCGUGGAUUCGGAUCGUGGGCUCGUGGAUUCGAGUGGCGUUCGUGGAUUCGGACGUGGGCGAGGCGUUCGUGAAUUCGAACGUGAGAGCGUGGACAAUUCGGAGGAUUGCGUGAGGUUCAUAGGAGGUUAAGAGAGGUUGAGUCUGUGGAGUCGGUAAUCAUCUUGUAAUCUUUUCUCUUAGUGAAUUAUUUUUUCGCGUGUUGGUCCCGUGGAUUUUUCUCCAAGUUGGAGUUUUCCCACGUAAAUCUCGGUGUGAUUUUUAUUUUCCGUAUUUAUUUUUAUCGCAUUGAGAUUUGUGGUUUUUGGCUAUUACACCUAUUCACCCCCCUCUAGGUGUUAGAUAU